UAGGGAAUCUUCCGCAAUGGACGCAAGUCUGACGGAGCAACGCCGCGUGAGUGAAGAAGGAUUUCGGUUCGUAAAACUCUGUUGUUAGAGAAGAACAGCGCAUAGAGUAACUGUUAUGCGUGUGACGGUAUCUAACCAGAAAGCCACGGCUAACUACGUGCCAGCAGCCGCGGUAAUACGUAGGUCCCGAGCGUUGUCCGGAUUUAUUGGGCGUAAAGCGAGCGCAGGCGGUUAGAUAAGUCUGAAGUUAAAGGCAGUGGCUCAACCAUUGUAGGCUUUGGAAACUGUUUAACUUGAGUGCAGAAGGGGAGAGUGGAAUUCCAUGUGUAGCGGUGAAAUGCGUAGAUAUAUGGAGGAACACCAGUGGCGAAGGCGACUCUCUGGUCUGUAACUGACGCUGAGGUUCGAAAGCGUGGGUAGCAAACAGG
rnacentral:rRNA from 1 species